rnacentral:rRNA from 1 species
GACGAACGCUGGCGGCGUGCUUAACACAUGCAAGUCGAACGGAAAGGCCCUGCUUUUGUGGGGUGCUCGAGUGGCGAACGGGUGAGUAACACGUGAGUAACCUGCCCUUGACUUUGGGAUAACUUCAGGAAACUGGGGCUAAUACCGGAUAGGAGCUCCUGCUGCAUGGAGGGGGUUGGAAAGUUUCGGCGGUUGGGGAUGGACUCGCGGCUUAUCAGCUUGUUGGUGGGGUAGUGGCUUACCAAGGCUUUGACGGGUAGCCGGCCUGAGAGGGUGACCGGCCAAAUUGGGACUGAGAUACGGCCCAGACUCCUACGGGAGGCAGCAGUGGGGAAUAUUGCACAAUGGGCGGAAGCCUGAUGCAGCAACGCCGCGUGCGGGAUGACGGCCUUCGGGCUGUAAACCGCUUUCGCCUGUGACGAAGCGUGAGUGACGGUAAUGGGUAAAGAAGCACCGGCUAACUACGUG